rnacentral:rRNA from 1 species
CGUAGGUGGCAAGCGUUGUCCGGAUUUAUUGGGUUUAAAGGGUGCGUAGGCGGUCUUAUAAGUCAGUGCUGAAAUAUCCCGGCUUAACCGGGAGGUGGCAUUGAUACUGUAGGACUUGAGUAAAGUUGAGGUUGGCGGAAUUGACGGUGUAGCGGUGAAAUGCUUAGAUAUCGUCAAGAACACCGAUAGUGUAGACAGCUAACUAAGCUUUAACUGACGCUGAGGCACGAAAGUGUGGGGAUCAAACAGGAUUAGAUACCCUGGUAGUCCACACUGUAAACGUUGAAGACUCGCUGUUGGCGAUACACAGUCAGCGGCUGAGAGAAAUCGUUAAGUCUUCCACCUGGGGAGUACGCCGGCAACGGUG